GGGCGAUAUGGCUCUAAAAUAAUAUCACAAUAUUUCAGGGUAUUUUUGCGAUAACGAUAUACUUGGCGAUACAGGAAAACUAAAAUAAUUCAUUCAUUUCAGGAAUAUAGUAUAAUAGUAUAACAGUAUAAUCAUAAUGUGGCAAAAUAAAUAAUAUAGCAUAAAAUAAUAUAAUGCAGCAAAUAAUAUUGCAGAAUAUUUAGUGCAUGCAUAUAAACUGCAAACUAAAACAAUUAUACAAUAAAUACACCUAAAGCUUCACAGUGAAUAAUAGACUACUUUUAAGACAGAACAGCCCUAUUAUCACGAUAUGCAUUUUUAAUAUCAUGAUAUUUCUGUAUCACGAUGUAUUGUAUACGAUAUAAUAUUGCCCACCCCCUAAUGGCAACUUUUUCUGCUAUUGGGCAGGUUUCUUACAGGGCAGUACAGACAGUGUGUUCAGGUAGAGGAGCAGGUUUACAGUGUGUUCAGGUAGAGGAGCAGGUUUACAGUGUGUUCAGGUAGAGGAGCAGGUUUACAGUGUGUUCAGGUAGAGGAGCAGGUUUACAGUGUGUUCAGGUAGAGGAGCAGGUUUACAGUGUGUUCAGGUAGAGGAGCAGGUUUACAGUGUGUUCAGGUAGAGGAGCAGGUUUACAGUGUGUUCAGGUAGAGGAGCAGGUUUACAGUGUGUUCAGGUAGAGGGGCAGGUUUACAGUCUGUCUGUGUAUCAGACUCUUACCGUGGAGGCUGAGCAGCAGGUUGGAGUCCAGGCUGAGGAGCUGGGGGGAGAGCUGCAG